GACGAACGCUGGCGGCGUGCUUAACACAUGCAAGUCGAACGGAAAGGCCCUGCUUUUGUGGGGUGCUCGAGUGGCGAACGGGUGUGUAACACGUGAGUAACCUGCCCUUGAUUUUGGUAUAACUUCAGGAAACUGGGGCUUAUACCGGAUAGGAGCUCCUGCUGCAUGGUGGGGGUUGGAAAUUUUCGGCGGUUGGGGAUGGACUCGCGGUUUACCAGCUUGUGGGUGGGGUAGUGGCCUACCAAGGCUUUGACGGGUAGCCGGCGUGAGAGGGUGACCGGCCACAUUGGGACUGAGAUACGGCCCAGACUCCUACGGGAGAGAGCAGUGGGGAAUAUUGCACAAUGGGCGGGAGCCUGAUGCAGCAACGCCGCGUGCGGGAUGACGGCCUUCGGGUUGUAAACCGCUUUCGCCUGUGACGAAGCGUGAGUGACGGUAAUGGGUAAAGAAGCACCGGCUAACUACGUG
rnacentral:rRNA from 1 species